GCACUCUCGAGAUCCGGGGGUUCGGCUCGCUGCCCGUGAGCCUGUGGCCGUUCGUCACGGCCGGGGUGCUCC
rnacentral:tRNA from 1 species